AUCAUUUUCUGUGUAUUCAUGAAAAGGAAAGUCCCUUACUCCUCAGCAUGGACAUCACAAGAACUCCUGCUAAACAGGACAUGGCCCUUCUCUCCUUCUACAAGCGACCUGAUGUUGAAUGGGCACGACCCCUGAAUUGCAGACUUGAAGGAGAUACUGCCAUUGGACAGGGUGUAACUCGCUUCUUUUUCUCAACAUGCAUUGUUAAAUCACAAGUCUCCACUCUACCUGAAUGUUAAUUCACCAGGCCACACCUGAUCACCUAAGCCACGCCCCCAACACUAUAAAACCCUGCACCCAAGCCUUUGUUCCCCCUUUUCCCUCCAAACCUGCCAUGUGCCAGUGACUCCUUUGUUAAAAUGUUUGUACCAUGUGGUUUUGAACUAUUACCUGGAGUGGAUGCAUUACUGAUCACAAAUCAUCCACAUCCACAUCCACAUCUGAACUCACUCCUUUGUCUGUUGUGAAUAAACCUUCGAAACCUGCCCUGGACCUGGUGUGUCUGACUUCACACCACACAUUGUUCAGUGAACCAGCAUCAGGAGAACACAGACUUUUAACAUGCAUGGAAAAGCUAAUGUCUGGGUUUACAUCAAUUUUGGUAUGUAUAUUAUAUGUAAGGCAUUCUUGCAAAUGCUGUUUAUUUUAUGUUGUAUAGUAAAUAUUUUUUUAAUACUGUGUGCUACAUGUCUAUUGUAUAAUAGUUUGUUUGCUCCACCUUAGUUCCAACUCCAUUCGAUCUGCAGAGUCCCUCUCUACUUUCAAAAGACAGCUAAAGACCCAGCUCUUUAGGAAGCACUAUGCACUUAG